AUCAGAUGUUUGCCCAUUGCGGAGGCGGUCCGAAAUUUUGAAAUACACUUGUAACAGUGUGAGCAUACAGACGUCUGGAUGCAAAACGUAGUUGCCCUAUCGCGUAUGGUCUCUGAGUACUAUUCGCUGAUAAGGACGGACAGACGGACAAGCAGAAAUGGCAAUAUCGACUCGGCUGUUGAUGCUGAUCAAGAAUAUAUAUGUACAUACAUAAACUUUUCAUCGAAAAAUACAAUAUUUCCUAUUUACUCUUCGAGUAUAUAAAUUCUGUAUAACGCUUUGCAAUUUGCUUCGUUUGACAUUUACUAUACUCCAAGUAAAUGUCAAACGAAGCAAAUUGCAAAGCGUUAUACAGAUUCUCCAGACAAUCCGUAAUAUAAAGCUGAGACUUCCCAUGGCAAUUCUACAGUUUAAGGAACGCCUGCAUCGAGAUGAGAUCUGUUUUGUUUGUAUUCACCGCAGCACUGCGUAAGUUUUGUUGACGGCAAAAAAGUGUGAAUUGAACUAUAAAAUACUUAUUUGGAAUAGUUUUGUGGGGCAACGUGGCAGGAACGGAAGCACCAAAGGCAAAAGCUCCACAAAUAUUAGAGCCAUCCGAACGAAGCGGUGGCGGAUUGUCCCCAAAAUCUCCACAAAUAUUAGAGCCAUCCGAACGAAGCGGUGGCGGAUUGUCCCCAAAGGCACCACAAAUUUUAGAGCCAGCUGGUUAGAGCCCUGCGGUUGACUAUUGAUAGGGAGUUAAAGAUAGUCACGAACUCGCUAUGGAGGAGGCUUUCACGCAGAGAAGGCACAAAUCAAAACCAUUUAUAUUUUAUAAUCACACUGUAUGCCUUGGCAUGAAUAAAUAUAAUCCCUGAGCAUC
rnacentral:lncRNA from 1 species